AGCGUCUGGGUCUCCAGUGCAGCAUGAGCAGGAAGCCAAACUUCUCAGCAGGACCCUUGGACACCAAGAAGUACGUGUGCAGCGUCAUGUGGAACCAACUGUGUGGACUGAAGAAGGAUCAGCAUCUGAUGACGAUGUAACGAUUCACGUGAUUGUACAUGAGUGACUAGGCCCUGACUUGAUGGUUCUCGACUGUUUUUCCUGAUUCCCCACAAUCCUUCAGUGCUGCAUGAGCUCCUGGAUGAACCG